GACGAACGCUGGCGGCGUGCUUAACACAUGCAAGUCGAACGGAAAGGCCCUGCUUUUGUGGGGUGCUCGAGUGGCGAACGGGUGAGUAACACGUGAGUAACCUGCCCUUGACUUUGGGAUAACUUCAGGAAACUGGGGCUAAUACCGGAUAGGAGCUCCUGCUGCAUGGUGGGGGUUGGAAAGUUUCGGCGGUUGGGGAUGGACUCGCGGCUUAUCAGCUUGUUGGUGGGGUAGUGGCUUACCAAGGCUUUGACGGGUAGCCGGCCUGAGAGGGUGACCGGCCACAUUGGGACUGAGAUACGGCCCAGACUCGUACGGGAGGCAGCAGUGAGGAAUAUUGCACAAUGGGCGGAAGCCUGAUGCAGCAACGCCGCGUGCGGGAUGACGGCCUUCGGGUUGUAAACCGCUUUCGCCUGUGACGAAGCGUGAGUGACGGUAAUGGGUAAAGAAGCACCGGCUAACUACGUG
rnacentral:rRNA from 1 species